GACGAACCGUGCGAACGUUGUUCGGAAUCACUGGGCUUAAAGGGCGCGUAGGCGGUCAAUCCAGUCGGGGGUGAAAUCUUGCAGCUUAACUGUAAAAAGUGCCUUCGAUACUGAUUGACUCGAGGGAGGUAGGGGCAGGUGGAACUUCCAGUGGAGCGGUGAAAUGUGUUGAUAUUGGAAGGAACGCCGGUGGCGAAAGCGACCUGCUGGAUCUCUUCUGACGCUGAGGCGCGAAAGCUAGGGGAGCAAACGGGG
rnacentral:rRNA from 1 species